rnacentral:snRNA from 1 species
UAAUAAGCACAAUUUUAUCGGAAUAAAAUUAGAACGAUACAGAGAAGAUUAGCAUGGCCCCUGCGCAAGGAUGACACGCACAAAUCGGAAAUAGAUAUUAAAACUU